CCCUUAGAUGUCCGGGGCCGCACGCGCGCUACACUGAAGGAAUCAGCGUGGCUUUCUCCCUGACCCGAAAGGGUUGGGAAACCCGUUGAAUCUCCUUCGUGAUAGGGAUUGGGGCUUGAAAUUGUUCCCCAUGAACGAGGAAUUCCCAGUAAGCGCGAGUCAUAAGCUCGCGUUGAUUACGUCCCUGCCCUUUGUACACACCGCCCGUCGCUACUACCGAUUGAACGGUUUAGUGAGGGCCUCGGAUUGGUCUCGGCCCGCUCUUUACCGGGCGGCGCCGUUGGUUGAGAAGACGCUCGAACUUGAUCGUUUAGAGGAAGUAAAAGUCGUAACA
rnacentral:rRNA from 1 species